UAAGGUUAAGUUAAUAAGGGCGCACGGUGGAUGCCUUGGCACUAGAAGCCGAAGAAGGACGUGACUAACGACGAAAUGCUUUGGGGAGCUGUAAGUAAGCGCUGAUCCAGAGAUGUCCGAAUGGGGGAACCCGGCAUGUAAUGCAUGUCAUCCAUGACUGUUAAGGUCAUGAGAAGGAAGACGCAGUGAACUGAAACAUCUAAGUAGCUGCAGGAAGAGAAAGCAAACGCGAUUGCCUUAGUAGCGGCGAGCGAAACGGCAGGAGGGCAAACCGAGGAGUUUACUCCUCGGGGUUGUAGGACUGCGAAGUGGGACAUAAAGUUAAUAGAAGAAUUACCUGGGAAGGUAAGCCAAAGAGAGUAACAGCCUCGUAUUUAAAAUUGACUUUAGCCCUAGCAGUAUCCUGAGUACGGCGAGACACGCGAAAUCUCGUCGGAAUCUGGGAGGACCAUCUCCCAACCCUAAAUACUCUCUAGUGACCGAUAGUGAACCAGUACCGUGAGGGAAAGGUGAAAAGCACCCCGGGAGGGGAGUGAAAUAGAACCUGAAACCGUGUGCCUACAACAAGUUCGAGCCCGUUAAUGGGUGAGAGCGUGCCUUUUGUAGAAUGAACCGGCGAGUUACGAUAUGAUGCGAGGUUAAGUUGAAGAGACGGAGCCGUAGGGAAACCGAGUCUUAAUAGGGCGUCAUAGUAUCAUGUUGUAGACCCGAAACCAUGUGACCUACCCAUGAGCAGGUUGAAGGUGUGGUAAAACGCACUGGAGGACCGAACCAGGGCACGUUGAAAAGUGCUUGGAUGACUUGUGGGUAGCGGAGAAAUUCCAAACGAACUUGGAGAUAGCUGGUUCUCUCCGAAAUAGCUUUAGGGCUAGCGUCGAUGUUAAGUCUCUUGGAGGUAGAGCACUGUUUGGGUGAGGGGUCCAUCCCGGAUUACCAAUCUCAGAUAAACUCCGAAUGCCAAGUAGAUAUAAUCGGCAGUCAGACUGCGAGUGCUAAGAUCCGUAGUCGAAAGGGAAACAGCCCAGACCACCAGCUAAGGUCCCAAAAUAAUUGUUAAGUGGAAAAGGAUGUGGGGUUGCACAGACAACUAGGAUGUUAGCUUAGAAGCAGCUAUUCAUUCAAAGAGUGCGUAAUAGCUCACUAGUCGAGUGACCCUGCGCCGAAAAUGUACCGGGGCUAAAACAAUUUACCGAAGCUGUGGAUCCCUUAGGGGAUGGUAGGAGAGCGUUCUAUGUGUGAAGAAGGUAUACCGUGAGGAGUGCUGGAACGCAUAGAAGUGAGAAUGCCGGUAUGAGUAGCGCAAGACAGGUGAGAAUCCUGUCCACCGUAAGACUAAGGUUUCCAGGGGAAGGCUCGUCCGCCCUGGGUUAGUCGGGACCUAAGGAGAGACCGAAGGGUGUAUCCGAUGGCCAACAGGUUGAUAUUCCUGUACUAGUAUGUAUAGUGAUGGAGGGACGCAGAAGGCUAACUAAAGCGUGCGACUGGAAGUGCACGUCUAAGCAGUGAGGUGUGAGAUGAGUAAAAUGCUUAUCUCUAUAACAUUGAGCUGUGAUGGGGAGCGAAAAUAAGUAGCGAAGUUAGUGAUGUCACACUGCCAAGAAAAGCUUCUAGCGUUUAAAUACAUACUACCCGUACCGCAAACCGACACAGGUAGUCGAGGCGAGUAGCCUCAGGUGAUCGAGAGAACUCUCGUUAAGGAACUCGGCAAAAUGACCCCGUAACUUCGGGAGAAGGGGUGCUGUCAGCGAUGACAGCCGCAGUGAAUAGGCCCAAGCAACUGUUUAUCAAAAACACAGCUCUCUGCUAAAUCGUAAGAUGAUGUAUAGGGGGUGACGCCUGCCCGGUGCUGGAAGGUUAAGAGGAGUGCUUAGCGUAAGCGAAGGUAUGAAUUGAAGCCCCAGUAAACGGCGGCCGUAACUAUAACGGUCCUAAGGUAGCGAAAUUCCUUGUCGGGUAAGUUCCGACCCGCACGAAAGGCGUAAUGAUUUGGGCACUGUCUCAACGAGAGACUCGGUGAAAUUUUAGUACCUGUGAAGAUGCAGGUUACCCGCGACAGGACGGAAAGACCCCAUGGAGCUUUACUGCAGUUUGAUAUUGAGUAUCUGUACCACAUGUACAGGAUAGGUAGGAGCCAUCGAGAACGGGACGCCAGUUUCGUUUGAGGCGUUGUUGGGAUACUACCCUUGUGUUAUGGCUACUCUAACCC
rnacentral:rRNA from 1 species